CCUACGGGCGGCAGCAGUGAGGAAUAUUGGUCAAUGGGCGCGAGCCUGAACCAGCCAAGUAGCGUGAACGAUGACUGCCCUACGGGUUGUAAACUUCUUUUAUAAAGGAAUAAAGUGAGGCACGUGUGCCUUUUUGUAUGUACUUUAUGAAUAAGGAUCGGCUAACUCCGGGCCAGCAGCCGCGGUAAUACGGAGGAUCCGAGCGUUAUCCGGAGUUAUUGGGUUUAAAGGGAGCGUAGAUGGGUUGGUAAGUCAGUUGUGAAAGUUUGCGGCUCAACCGCAAAAUUGCAAUGGAUACGGGCAGGCUGGAGUACAGGUGAGGUAGGCGGAAUUCGUGGUGUAGCGGUGAAAUGCUUAGAUAUUACGAAGAACUCCGAUUGCGAAGGCAGCUUACUAAACUGCAACUGACAUUGAUGCUCGAAAGUGUGGGUAUCAAACAGGAUUAGAUACCCGGGUAGUC
rnacentral:rRNA from 1 species